UAAUAUGAAGCGAUAUAAUUGCAGUUAGUUUCGACCUAACCAUCAGGUUUUUACCCAUAUUUU
rnacentral:tRNA from 1 species